rnacentral:rRNA from 1 species
UACGAGUGCCUCAAGCGUUAUCCGGAAUCAUUGGGCGUAAAGGUUGUGUAGGUGGUUGUAUUAGUCUUUUGUUAAAUUCUUCGGCUUAACCGGGGGCAUGCAAGGGAAACGGUACAACUCGAGGAUGCGAGGGGUCUGCGGAACUCAUAGUGUAGCGGUGAAAUGCGUUGAUAUUAUGGGGAACACCAAAAGCGAAGGCAGCAGACUGGAGCACUCCUGACACUGAAACAAGAAAGCGUGGGUCGCGAAUGGG